GGCUUUAUAUUCAAUAAUGAUAUUAGACUGCAAUUCUAAAGGAGUAUAAUUUAUACUAAGGCUU
rnacentral:tRNA from 1 species